UAACCUACCUAUAAGACUGGGAUAACUUCGGGAAACCGGAGCUAAUACCGGAUAACAUAUUGAACCUCAUGGUUCAAUAGUGAAAGGCGGCUUUGCUGUCACUUAUAGAUGGAUCCGCGCCGUAUUAGCUAGUUGGUAAGGUAACGGCUUACCAAGGCAACGAUACGUAGCCGACCUGAGAGGGUGAUCGGCCACACUGGAACUGAGACA
rnacentral:rRNA from 1 species